AUACAGUAACUGUAAAAUGAAUGGUUAAUCCGUGUUGUGCUUCUUUAUAUUGUCAUGGGAAGGGAAAAAAUAAUGUUUUGUUUUUGCGUAAAAAUAUCGACUGAGGCUAAAACGCAUGUUCUUUGACUUAUGCACCCUGCCCUGAUUCUGGUUUGUUAAAGCUUGUCACUGUUGUAAUCCUAUAUAAACGUCUAAUCUUGCAUACGUGUGUUGUUUUUGUGUGCUGUGUUGCCUGUUGUACAUGUUUUAAUAAAGGCGGGGCUUUAGUGAUCUUGUAUCUAUGAGAUGACAAAUGAAAGUUAUUUAUUGUCGGCACUGCGCAGUGGAUCCAGCACUUGCACAGCAAAAAAGCACGACAUUCCCAUUUUUUGGUUUGUCUCUUUCUUUUUUUUCUUCCCAUAUUUUCUUGUUUCUCUCCCUGGGUGUUGCGAAGGAUUGCGCUUGUGGAUUUGCCAUUGAGCGGAACUGAUUUUUGGGACGAAAGGAACAUGUGGAAAUGCGGAGACACUCGUUGCGCAUGGCGAGCCGGAGCUGGAAGCUGGUUUUAAGAAGAGCUGGUUUUAAGAAGAGAAGACCAGCACCAGGUUUACAUGGAGUUAACGCCACUGCUUUUCUAUUUCGGGGCCAUGGUUUUAAGACAAGCUAAAUGUAACGCACAAUGCAGUAAAGAGACUUUACGUUUGGUGGACGCGUUCAGGCACAUGCUCCCCAAAAUGGAAUUUAAUGAUUUCAGGCUAUACACUCCAACGCUGCAAAAUUAUAAGGCUUCAAGAUGUUGUCUUCUCACUCCAGCAGAACUGUUCCAGAUCCACAAUGGAGUGCUUUGCAAAGGAGAUGAUUGUCCUUGUUAGCGAGACUGAUGAAGCUUCCAAAUUACCCAUAAGGCUCCAAAAACUCCAACAAAAUCUUAGUAACAAGAUCCCUCCUUGCCCAAAGUGUGAGGUCUACAACGAAACACAAGCUGAAAUAUUUCUCAACACUUUGAUCACUAUUUUGCAAUUUAUUUGCACCACUUAGACAAAAUCUGGAUCUCACAGAACUAACAUGCUUUGAAGAAGCUGGGUAUUCAGGAGAAAUGUAUUCCUGAGUAUUCCUGAGUAGCUCUUCUGCUUGAAAGAUUGAAAUGUUGCGUGUGCUAAGAUGCUGUUCUGCUCACCACAUUUGUAAAAAGUGGUUAUUAUAUUCAUCCUGUCAGUGCCAACCAGUCAUUCAACCAACCCAUUCUCCUUUUACCUCUGAUGAACAAGGUAUUUCUGCUGAAAGAAUAGCAGCUCACUGGAUGUUCUUUGUUUGUUUUUUUGUUUUUGUUUGCAUUGUUCUGGGUAAAUUCAAAAGACUGUUGUGUUUGAAAAACCAAGAAGAUCAGAAGUACAUGAAAUACACAAACCAACUCAACUGAAUCUGACAACCAAGCAACGGAUAACAUCACUGAGAAAGCUAUUCUCCUCAUUGUGGUGUUUUAUAAAACAUUUAUUUAAGCUCUUCCCUGAUUAUACCUGUAUGCAUUUUGCUGCAGCCACAUUGGCUGUUUAGAUAACUACAAGAACCUGUGAAUGCCUGUGUGCAGAGGUUCUGUAUAUAUUUGCACAUUAUAUAUUGUUUUAUAUUUCACUCAGUUAAAAUAUAUAGGUUUCACAUAUAAUUUUUGCAUUUGGUUUGACUGGAAACUACCUCUAUAUUAACACUAAAGGUUUUUAGGAAGGAAUGCAAAGUCACACACAAAGCUUUUAUCUGUUUCUGGUUUACCUGUUUAUCAUGUUUAAAUGUUUCACAUUUAAAUUUAUAUUUAAGAUGUGUUGUGUUCUAACUAACCUAAAAGUUAUGUCAUUAACAUAUCGUUGCACAAUUCUUACAGUAAAAGCAAUAUUUUCUUGGGAUAUUCAUUUGUUUUCUGUUAUUUAAACAAUUUUCAGCUUUGUUAUAAAUAAACAUUCUGUCAUUUAA